ACUGCAUCUCCUAGCAGCCACGCUCGCCAGCGGUAAUGGGGCAGCCAGCGCAGCGGAGGCAGCCGUGCCUGCAGCACGCGCCACGCCCCCGGCCCUGAACAGCAGCCAGCUCGCCUCCUCCACAACCCGCACAGCCAGGUGUGGACCUUCCCCCUUCCCCCAAAGAGGGAGAAGGAGACUCCAAUCCUCUCCACCUUCCCAGUCUUCGGCAGGACAUUGAAGCCUCAGACAAAGGAAACUGGAAAACAAAAUCACAACGAAACCAAUCAUUUCUAUCUGGCCCCAGCCCGAGCCCCCCCUCCAAGCCCCUACAUAUCCUCCAUCUGAGGGACGCAUGCGUGGAGUUCCUUGUGCAGAGCGGAGGCCUCGC